rnacentral:rRNA from 1 species
GACGAACGCUGGCGGCGUGCUUAACGCAUGCAAGUCGAACGGAAAGGCCCUGCUUUUGUGGGGUGCUCGAGUGGCGAACGGGUGAGUAACACGUGAGUAACCUGCCCUUGACUUUGGGAUAACUUCAGGAAACUGGGGCUAAUACCGGAUAGGAGCUCCUGCUGCAUGGUGGGGGUUGGAAAGUUUCGGCGGUUGGGGAUGGACUCGCGGCUUAUCAGCUUGUUGGUGGGGUAGUGGCUUACCAAGGCUUUGACGGGUAGCCGGCCUGAGAGGGUGACCGGCCACAUUGGGACUGAGAUACGGCCCAGACUCCUACGGGGGGCAGCAGUGGGGAAUAUUGCACAAUGGGCGGAAGCCUGAUGCAGCAACGCCGCGUGCGGGAUGACGGCCUUCGGGUUGUAAACCGCUUUCGCCUGUGACGAAGCGUGAGUGACGGUAAUGGGUAAAGAAGCACCGGCUAACUACGUG